rnacentral:misc_RNA from 1 species
UCGUAACAAGGUCUCCGUUGGUGAACCAGCGGAGGGAUCAUUACAGAGUUACUACUCCAAAACCCAUUGUGAACCUUACCUAUGUUCUGUUGCCUCGGCGGCGUGGUCAGCGCCCCCUCUGAAAAGAGGACGAUGCCCUCCCGCCGGCAGCACCAAACUCUUGAAUUUUACAGCGGAUUACAGUUCUGAUUUGAAAAGAAAAAACAAGUUAAAACUUUCAACAACGGAUCUCUUGGUUCUGGCAUCGAUGAAGAACGCAGCGAAAUGCGAUAAGUAAUGUGAAUUGCAGAAUUCAGUGAAUCAUCGAAUCUUUGAACGCACAUUGCGCCCGGCAGUAAUCUGCCGGGCAUGCCUGUCCGAGCGUCAUUUCAACCCUCGAACCUCCGUUUCCUCAGGGAAGCUCAGGGUCGGUGUUGGGGCGCUACGGCGAGUCUUCGCGACCCUCCGUAGGCCCUGAAAUACAGUGGCGGUCCCGCCGCGGUUGCCUUCUGCGUAGUAAGUCUCUUUUGCAAGCUCGCAUUGGGUCCCGGCGGAGGCCUGCCGUCAAACCACCUAUAACUCCAGAUGGUUUGACCUCGGAUCAGGUAGGGUUACCCGCUGAACUUAAGCAUAUCAAUAAA